rnacentral:rRNA from 1 species
GACGAACGCUGGCGGCGCGCCUAACACAUGCAAGUCGAACGAGCGAGAGAGAGCUUGCUUUCUCAAGCGAGUGGCGAACGGGUGAGUAACGCGUGAGGAACCUGCCUCAAAGAGGGGGACAACAGUUGGAAACGACUGCUAAUACCGCAUAAGCCCACAGGUCGGCAUCGACCAGAGGGAAAAGGAGCAAUCCGCUUUGAGAUGGCCUCGCGUCCGAUUAGCUAGUUGGUGAGGUAACGGCCCACCAAGGCAACGAUCGGUAGCCGGACUGAGAGGUUGAACGGCCGCAUUGGGACUGAGACACGGCCCAGACUCCUACGGGAGGCAGCAGUGGGGAAUAUUGCACAAUGGGGGAAACCCUGAUGCAGCGACGCCGCGUGGAGGAAGAAGGUCUUCGGAUUGUAAACUCCUGUUGUUGAGGAAGAUAAUGACGGUACUCAACAAGGAAGUGACGGCUAACUACGUG